AUACGUAGGGGGCGAGCGUUGUCCGGAAUUAUUGGGCGUAAAGGGCGCGUAGGCGGCCCGGUAAGUCUGGAGUGAAAGUCCUGUUUUUAAGAUGGGAAUUGCUUUGGAUACUGUCGGGCUUGAGUGCAGGAGAGGUAAGUGGAAUUCCCAGUGUAGCGGUGAAAUGCGUAGAGAUUGGGAGGAAAACCAGUGGCGAAGGCGACUUUCUGGAAGGUAACGGACGCUGAGGCCCGAAAGCGUGGGGAGGAAACAGGAUUAGAUACCCUGGUAGUCCACGCUGUAAACGAUGAAUGCUAGGUGUAGGAGGUAUCGACCCCUUUUGUGCCGGAGUCAACACAAUAAGCAUUCCGCCUGGGGAGUACGGCCGCAAGGUUGAAACUCAAAGGAAUUGACGGGG
rnacentral:rRNA from 1 species